rnacentral:rRNA from 1 species
CUUGUCUCAAAGAUUAAGCCAUGCAUGUCUAAGUAUAAGCAAUUAUACGGCGAAACUGCGAAUGGCUCAUUAUAUAAGUUAUCGUUUAUUUGAUAGUACCUUACUACUUGGAUAACCGUGGUAAUUCUAGAGCUAAUACAUGCUAAAAAUCCCGACUUCGGAAGGGAUGUAUUUAUUAGAUUAAAAACCAAUGCCCUUCGGGGCUCCUUGGUGAUUCAUGAUAACUUCGCGAAUCGCAUGGCCUUGCGCCGGCGAUGGUUCAUUCAAAUUUCUUCCCUAUCAACUUUCGAUGUUUGGGUAUUGGCCAAACAUGGUUGCAACGGGUAACGGAGGGUUAGGGCUCGACCCCGGAGAAGGAGCCUGAGAAACGGCUACUACAUCCAAGGAAGGCAGCA